rnacentral:rRNA from 1 species
UAAUACGUAGGGUGCGAGCGUUGUCCGGAAUUACUGGGCGUAAAGAGCUCGUAGGUGGUUUGUUGCGUCGUCUGUGAAAUUCCGGGGCUUAACUUCGGGGUGGCAGGCGAUACGGGCAUAACUAGAGUGCUGUAGGGGAGACUGGAAUUCCUGGUGUAGCGGUGGAAUGCGCAGAUAUCAGGAGGAACACCGAUGGCGAAGGCAGGUCUCUGGGCAGUAACUGACGCUGAGGAGCGAAAGCAUGGGGAGCGAACAGGAUUAGAUACCCUGGUAGUCCAUGCUGUAAACGGUGGGCGUUAGGUGUGGGGACCGGUUUGGUUUCUGUGCCGUAGCUAACGCAUUAAGCGCCCCGCCUGGGGAGUACGGCCGCAAGGCUAAAACUCAAAGGAAUUGACGGGGGCCCGCACAAG